AGUGAACGCUGGCGGUAGGCCUAACACAUGCAAGUCGAACGGCAGCACAGUAAGAGCUUGCUCUUACGGGUGGCGAGUGGCGGACGGGUGAGGAAUACAUCGGAAUCUACUUUUUCGUGGGGGAUAACGUAGGGAAACUUACGCUAAUACCGCAUACGACCUACGGGUGAAAGCAGGGGAUCUCCGGACCUUGCGCGAUUGAAUGAGCCGAUGUCGGAUUAGCUAGUUGGCGGGGUAAAGGCCCACCAAGGCGACGAUCCGUAGUUGGUCUGAGAGGAUGAUCAGCCACACUGGAACUGAGACACGGUCCAGACUCCUACGGGAGGCAGCAGUGGGGAAUAUUGGACAAUGGGCGCAAGCCUGAUCCAGCCAUACCGCGUGGGUGAAGAAGGCCUUCGGGUUGUAAAGCCCUUUUGUUGGGAAAGAAAAGCAGCAGGUUAAUACCCCGCUGUUCUGACGGUACCCAAAGAAUAAGCACCGGCUAACUUCGUG
rnacentral:rRNA from 1 species